CUUCUUCUACUGUUGCCAAAGAAUCGUUGACAAUCGCAUGCCACGUCUGCCUAGUCCACUACCAUCUAGGGCUCGAAUAAACAAGGACGGAGCAGGCGAGCAACAACAAAAAUUGAAUGGUGAAUAUUGAGAGAAUGAGAAGUCUGGCUCCGAGAAGAGGAGAUGAAGACUGAGCAGAGCUAGGACUGGGAGGAGUAGGCG
rnacentral:lncRNA from 1 species